GCCCUGGUGGUGUAAUCCGGCUCAGCAUGAAGCCCUGUCGCGGCUUCGAUUCGGGUUCAAACAUGCAAUGUGGGAUUUCGCAUUGCUCAAUCCCACGGAACGAUGGUAAGGGUUAUGGAAUUCCCGACCAGGGCG
rnacentral:tRNA from 1 species